rnacentral:rRNA from 1 species
UACGAAGGGUGCAAGCGUUAAUCGGAAUUACUGGGCGUAAAGGGCGCGUAGGCGGUUCGUUAAGUCUGUCGUGAAAUCCCCGGGCUCAACCUGGGAAUGGCGAUGGAUACUGGCGAGCUAGAGUGUGGCAGAGGAUGGUGGAAUUCCCGGUGUAGCGGUGAAAUGCGUAGAGAUCGGGAGGAACAUCAGUGGCGAAGGCGGCCAUCUGGGCCAAAACUGACGCUGAAGCACGAAAGCGUGGGGAGCAAACAGG